GCAGAGCAGUUGACACUGAUGGAUGUGGAGGAACUGCAAAAAAUUUAAAACCUUGUGCAGAAUGGACCAGCGGGAGAGGAGGAAACUGCUCACGGAGGGUGUCGUCCCCUUCCUGGGCAUGUUCCUCUAUCACCGAAGCUGCUGAACAUUGGGAUGGAGGAUGAUC